CGCGGCCUAUCAGCUUGUUGGUGAGGUAACGGCUCACCAAGGCAUCGACGGGUAGCUGGUCUGAGAGGACGAUCAGCCACACUGGGACUGAGACACGGCCCAGACUCCUGCGGGAGGCAGCAGUGGGGAAUCUUGCGCAAUGGGCGAAAGCCUGACGCAGCAACGCCGCGUGGGGGAUGAAGGCUCUCGGGUUGUAAACCCCUUUCAGCAGGGACGAAAUUGACGGUACCUGCAGAAGAAGCCCCGGCCAACUACGUGCCAGCAGCCGCGGUGACACGUAGGGGGCGAGCGUUGUCCGGAAUUAUUGGGCGUAAAGAGCUCGUAGGCGGUUUAGUAAGUCAGAUGUGAAAGGUUGGGGCUCAACCCUAAGACUGCAUCCGAUACUGCUAUGACUAGAGUCCGGUAGAGGAGUGUGGAAUUCCUGGUGUAGCGGUGAAAUGCGCAGAUAUCAGGAGGAACACCGACGGCGAAGGCAGCACUCUGGGCCGGUACUGACGCUCAGGAGCGAAAGCGUGGGUAGCAAACAGGAUUAGAUACCCUGGUAGUCCACGCCGUAAACGUUGGGCACUAGGUGUGGGGCCUUAUCAACGGGUUCCGUGCCGUAGCUAACGCAUUAAGUGCCCCGCCUGGGGAGUAC
rnacentral:rRNA from 1 species